rnacentral:tRNA from 3 species
GCGAGUGUAGCUCAAUGGCAGAGCUGAAGCCUUCCAAGCUUAUGACGAGGGUUCGAUUCCCUUCACUCGCUCCA